AUUGAGAUGACCGAUGAUAGGUAAUAAAUUGUAAAUUUAUAAAUGAAUUAAUAAUUCUCUCAAUA
rnacentral:tRNA from 1 species